AUUGAACGCUGGCGGUAGGCCUAACACAUGCAAGUCGAACGAUGACUCACUAGCUUGCUAGAGAUGAUUAGUGGCAGACGGGUGAGGAACAUUUAGAAAUCUACCUAGAAGUGGGGGAUAGCGCGGAGAAACUCGAAUUAACACCGCAUACGACCUACGGGUAAAAGGGAGAGCAAGCUAUUGCUAUUAGAUGAGCCUAAAUCAGAUUAGGUAGCUGGUGGGGUAAAGGCCGACCAAGGGGACGACCCGGAACCGGGCUGAGAGGAGGAUCAGUCACAACGGAAACUAGACAAGGUCCCGAACUCCAAGGGGAGCAACAGUUGGGAAUAUUUGACCAUGGGGGGAACCCUGAUCCCGCCAUGCCGCGUGUGUUGAGAAGGCCUUUUGGGUGGUAAGCACCUUAAGCAGGGAGGAAAGGCUAGUGGUUAAAUCCCAUGAUAUUAGACGUUACCUGCAGAAUUAGCCCCGGCUAACUCUCUG
rnacentral:rRNA from 1 species